rnacentral:lncRNA from 1 species
UCUUGGUUGAUCAUAAUGUCUAUUUCCAUCGAAGGCAAUCAAUGAAUAUGUACAACCGGUAAAAAGGUUUCAGAAUACUAGAGUAGUCAUCAUUCAUAAAUAGACUCUUUGACUGUGAUGGAGCAAAGUCACACUCAUUCUCUCAAGCUCCAUACCCAAAAAAGUGCUUCUGAAGGUUAGAGAAGAAAUUUAAGAUGAGGUGAAAGAAUAGUUAGGUUCCACUCAUACAAUAAAUGAGUCCUAAUAGAUGACUUUUGUUUGCCAAAUAUUCCACAAAAUAUCAAAAUUUUAGGUUUUUCUAAACAAUAUUGCUUUCAGUAUGGCAAGAUUUUAAGAAAGGUUGCAACAAAUUUUAGAUUUUUCUAAACAAUGUUGCUUUUAGUAUGGAAAAAUUUUAAGAAAGAUUGAUAGCAGUUGCAACCUAUACCAGUAAUAAGACACCCACAAUAUAAAGAGGAAGACAAAUGUGGUGACAAAAGGUCAUAGGGUUGCAAACAAAUGAUAUCUCUGUAUCAAAAAAAUCAAAAUGAUGUUGUAUUCAAAUAAAAUAUAGUGCGAGAGAUGAGAAAUGUAACCCAAAUUAUCGUGAUAGUCAAUUUACUGUUAGAAACUCGAGAAUAUAAAUAAAAGACAAGCAUAUUUCUGACAGGUUGCUGUUAAAGGUAUAUAAAAUUACAAUAAACCAAAAACACAGUUUAUAUGUAAUACUCUCUUGUAUCACAAAUGAGUCUCCAAUGCACGUAAAUAAAUAGAACCAAGAUUUAGGAGUCAAAGUAUGGAGCCACAAGGUACAGCACAUACCAUAUUAAAGGGGUGGUGUGGGGUGAGCAUAGGUUAGUGCUUGCCAGCUUGAAUGAACCCAAGAGAGAGAGGGGGAGGGGGCGAGAGAGAGGAAUAUGGAAGAGUAUACUUGGCGGUGCCAAACAAUAUGCGACAGCACGUGCAUCAGGGUUCACCAUCUCAAUACUAGACCCUAUACCAUUACCAUCUUAUUACAAUGUCUAUAUGUGGUAUUGUAUGAGAUGGUGAGGUGUACUGAGUGUCGGUACGAUACGAGAUUGCAUACCAAUUCUGUACCAAUACAAUACGGUAUCGGAUGGUACGACAAAUCUUGAUGUGCAUUUUUUAGGGUUUCAAUUUCAGGGGAGGGAGAUUUCUAAGUGCCUAAACAGGUGCUAGUUGCCCAAGGGCCACCACUACCUCAAGAAAACACUUUAUUCUUCGAUUUAAGGCAUUAUAUUUUUAGCUUGUCAUAUGUUCAAGUAAAUAAAUAUUACUUGAAGUUAAGAAGUGGAGUGCAUUUACUAUUAUAAAUUGGGAGCGCAUCUUCUAACCACAUAAAAUGAUAUUAUUUUUGGAUCACACCAUCCAUAUAUAUGUCUCCUAAUCAAACAAAUAACAACCAUUGGUACAACAUUUAAACUCUUUCUAGCAGUCCUGUUAAACCCCUCCAUCAUGUCUAGUUUCCUUUUUUCCCUUUUUUAUUUUAUAUUUCUUCUCUCCAACCCUAUUUUCAUUUGCCUCCCAUUCAGUCAUUUUCUCUCAUUUUUCCCUCUAAUCCUCUUGCUCUUCUUUCCUCCAAACACAACAAAAAAUGCAGGCAGCUGGCAACCAGUAGAUCAGUUAUCACCUUCAGUCCUUUUUCCUUUUUGUUUCUUCGUUUGUAUCUCUAUGAUUCUAUAUAUGGAAACAUAUGAAGCAUAUUAAUUCUCAGAGCUUUUUUGCUUGAGGCACCUGCCUGGCUGCCUCGGCAUUUUGCUUUGGUCUUUAGGGGGCGCUGUUCCCAGGGCCAUGUUCAAGAAUUGACAACCUUCAAUGUAUGUAACAAGUAUCCUUAAAUAACAAUUUCAAUGUUACCAUGAUUUUAUCUUAGCACAAACUAGGUUGACUAAGACUGAAGGAAUAUCAUCCCAUAUGAUCAACUGUUCUUGCAUAAACACAUAUAUAAGGGUCAGGCUACCGAUGAAGAAAAAAGAUGGAUUGCUUACAUCGUAUGCACUGGGCAAAAAUUGGAGCUAUGCAAUGGGCAAAAUUUGGAGCUAUGCAAUUUGCACAUCUCUUGGUGCAUGUAUUUAAAUGAUAUGGGCAAAAUAUACUAGACUCACAGAUUCAUAAUGCAAAUGUGAUUGAUUGACAUAUCAGAAGCUUCCAAGUUCUCAACCAAUCAUGCUGUGGGUGACCAUGUGGGUUUUGUGUAACAUGGUUAUAGCCCAUGCUGUGAAAUUAAAUUGCCUAUGCAAUCUAAAAGUUGAUAGAAUGGGUAAGUCAUAGAAAUCCCUAUGAGAAUUUUCAUCAUGAUUUAUUUAUGUUUACCUCUACAUUCCAAACUCUCAUCCUAAAAUCCAAAUUGUGAUAAACAUGCACAGAAAUCAACCACAAGCAGCUGUUAAAUAGUUUCACUUACAUAAGACUAUAGGAUCCUCAUCAGUGGCUUCUUGGAAGUGUUUCAAAAAUAAACCUCAAUGAAGGAAAGAUCUGGUUUGAAACAAAAAUAACUAUUUUCUAGAAUGCACAGAAAAACUUCCAAAUAGCAACAACCCAACUUCUAGAUAAAGAACUCAAUGAUCUUCAACUCACUAGCAUGAUGCCCUCCUAAUUCAUGAUGUUAUUUUUGGGCCCCUAGAUAAAUAUUAGCAUAUAACAUUUAAAAAAGUUUCUAGAACUUUCAAAUAUAAUCUAGAGAAAAUUGAAAAUAAUCUUAAAAAGUAUAAAAGGUUGGCAGUACCAAUAAAGGACCUAUACUGGUUGCCAUCGGUAUGACACAAUACGAUACCUUCCCUGCCGACUCACAAUGUAGAGGGAAAGG